AGAAUCUUUCGCAAUGCCCGAAAGGGUGACGAAGCGACGCCGCGUGUGGGAAGAAGGCCUUCGGGUUGUAAACCACUGUCGGGAGUUAAGAAAUGUAAGGGUGUUAAUAGCAUCCUUACUUGACUAAGGCUCCGGAGGAAGCCACGGCUAACUCUGUGCUAGCAGCCGCGGUAAUACAGAGGCGGCAAGCGUUGUUCGGAAUUAUUGGGCGUGAAGAGCACGUAAGCGGCCGUGCAAGUCGGUUGUGAAAGCCUUCCGCUUAACGGAAGAACAGCAGCCGAUACUGCAUGGCUUGAGUGCGGAAGGGGAGGGUGGAACUUCUGGUGGAGCGGUGAAAUGCGUAGAUAUCAGAAGGAACGCCGGCGGCGAAAGCGUCUCUCUGGUCCGUAACUGACGCUGAGUGUGCGAAAGCUAGGGGAGCAAACGGGAUUAGAUACCCCGGUAGUCCUAGCCGUAAACGAUGGGCACUAAGUAGAGGGGUUUUGAUUAUCUCUCUGCCGGAGCUAACGCAUUAAGUGCCCCGCCUGGGGAGUACGGCCGCAAGGCUAAAACUCAAAAGAAUUGACGGGGGCUCGCACAAGCGGUGGAGCAUGUGGCUUAAUUCGAUGCAACGCGAAGAACCUUACCGGGGUUUGACAUGGUAGAAGUAGGAGCCCGAGAGGGUAACGAACGGUAUCCAGUCCAUAACUAUCACAGGUGUUGCAUGGCUG
rnacentral:rRNA from 1 species